rnacentral:rRNA from 1 species
GUGCCAGCAGCCGCGGGUAAUACGGAGGGUGCAAGCGUUAAUCGGAAUUACUGGGCGUAAAGCGCACGCAGGCGGUUUUGUUAAGUCAGAUGUGAAAUCCCCGGGCUCAAACCUGGGAACUGCAUCUGAUACUGGCAAGCUUUGAGUCUCGUAGAGGGGGGUAGAAUUCCAGGUGUAGCGGUGAAAUGCGUAGAGAUCUGGAGGAAUACCGGUGGCGAAGGCGGCCCCCUGGACGAAGACUGACGCUCAGGUGCGAAAGCGUGGGGAGCAAACAGGAUUAGAUACCCUGGUAGUCC